rnacentral:rRNA from 1 species
UCUGGUGCCAGCAGCCGCGGUAAUUCCAGCUCUCAAAGUGUAUAUCGUCAUUGCUGCGGUUAAAAAGCUCGUAGUUGGAUCUGCGUCUCAGGACCUGGUCCAUCCAUUGGAUGAGAACUGGGCUCCUAGGCUAAUAUUGCCAGUUUUCCCUACGUUACCUUGAUCGGUUGCGUAUGGUGGCUAGCAAGUUUACCUUGAAAAAAUUAGAGUGCUCAAUGCGGGCUAAUGCCUGAAUACUCGUGCAUGGAAUAAUGAAAUAGGAUCUCGGUUCUAUUUUGUUGGUUUUCUGAUCUGAGAUAAUGGUUAAGAGGGACGGACGGGGGCAUUCGUAUCGCUGCGUGAGAGGUGAAAUUCUUGGACCGUAGCGAGACGUCCGACUGCGAAAGCAUUUGCCAAGAAUGUCUUCAUUAAUCAAGAACGAAAGUCAGAGGUUCGAAGGCGAUCAGAUACCGCCCUAGUUCUGACCGUAAACGAUACCAACUAGCGUUCCGUCGGCGGUAAAUACGCCUUGACGGGCAGCUUCCCGGAAACGAAAGUUUUUCGGUUCCGGGGGAAGUAUGGUUGCAAAGCUGAAACUUAAAGAAAUUGACGGAAGGGCACCACCAGGAGUGGAGCCUGCGGCUUAAUUUGACUCAACACGGGAAAACUCACCUGGCCCGGACACCGUGAGGAUUGACAGAUUGAGAGCUCUUUCAUGAUUCGGUGGUUGGUGGUGCAUGGCCGUUCUUAGUUGGUGGAGUGAUUUGUCUGGUUUAUUCCGAUAACGAGCGAGACUCUAGCCUACUAAAUAGUUACUGGAUAAUUUUGUCCAGACAACUUCUUAGAGGGACAAGCGGUGUUUAGCCGCAUGAAGUUGAGCAAUAACAGGUCUGUGAUGCCCUUAGAUGUCCAGGGCUGCACGCGCGCUACACUGGAGGAAUCAGCGUGCUGUAACCAUUACCGAAAGGUAUUGGUAACCCCUUGAAAAUCCUCCGUGAUCGGGAUCGGGAAUUGCAAUUAUUUCCCUUGAACGAGGAAUCCUAGUAAGUGUGAGUCAUCAACUCACGUUGAUUACGUCCCUGCCCUUUGUACACACCGCCCGUCGCUGCCCGGGACUGAGCCGUUUCGAGAAAAGCGGAGACUGCUGUUUUGAUACCUUUCGGGGUGGAGAUUCUUUGGUGGAAACCGCUUUAAUCGCAGUGGCUUGAACCGGGCAAAAGUCGUAACAAGGUUUCCGUAGGUGAACCUGCGGAAG